AGUGAACGCUGGCGGCAGGCCUAACACAUGCAAGUCGAACGGAUGCACAGUGCUUGCUCCUGCAUUCAGCGGCGGACGGGUGAGUAAUGCCUAGAAAUAUCCCUCUCUAUGUGUUCGAACGUCCGAACGCGGGCGCUCAUACCCCAUACGUGCUGAGGACGUACGGGUGGGAGCUGCGGACCUUCCGCUCUCACGUGAUCCUAUGCCCCGAUGUCGGAUUGGCUAGUUGGCGGGGUACAGACCCACCAAGGCGACGAUCCGUAGCUGGUCUGAGAGGAUGAUCAGCCACACUGGAACUGAGACACGGUCCAGACUCCUACGGGAGGCAGCAGUGGGGAAUAUUGGACAAUGGGCGAAAGCCUGAUCCAGCCAUGCCGCGUGUGUGAAGAAGGUCUUCGGAUUGUAAAGCACUUUAGGUGGGGAGGAAGGGCAGUAAGUUAAUACCUUGCUGUUUUGACGGUACCAACAGAAUAAGCACCGGCUAACUUCGUG
rnacentral:rRNA from 1 species